AUCAAAUAUACCCACUGCCCUUUUUUCUGGGAAGAGGUUGUCAAUAUACUGUGUACAUACACACUAUUGUAUGUGACUUCUUUUACUUAUAUAUCCAAGGCCUUUUCUGUGUUUUGGAAGAACCUUGAAAAAUAUAAUAUUGAAUGAGUGUGCAACGCUCUAUUAAGUGGUUAUACCAGCACUUAACUAACAAUUGCAUUUUUAUAUUGCUUUUUCCAGUUCUUUAAACCAUAAAGAACAAAGCAGGGGUAACACUGCUUUGCCAUCAUUCCCCCCUCGACCCCCCAAAUCCAUAGAUUGAAGUCCUAACCAAUAUUGUGUCUAUAUUUGGAGUAAGGAAGUAAUUUAGAUAAAAAAUGACAGAAUUUUUUAAAAAAAACCAUUUUUCUACAGUUAUAAAAAGAUGCCAGGAUAUAUGGGAGUGCUUGAACAUGAACUUAAAUUCUCAUAAGACUUGGAGAACAACACUUUAGGAGUAAACACAGCUCUCAGCUCCAAAGGGAUGGCUAUGUCUGUCUCUGUCUCACCUUUCAUGGUGGUGGCAAACCCAUGAGAUAAUGAAAUCUCAGGACACCCUGUGAGUCCUGGGUUUUUCUAGGUAAAAACAGAUUGUGCACCUUUCACCUGCUUUUAACGGCUGAGCUUCAGCUUCCUUCCCUUCUUGAAGUUGCUUCCCUCGUUUCAUGGUCUUUGAGUUACAACAUCAUUACCUUUUCAGUGAGAUCAGGUCAGCCUCUCACCUUUGUAACUGGGCAGACUCAUGGAAUCACUCCCAGGAAGUUGGCACCAUUCUGCCUUUUGCUGUAUUUAGGACAUUAUAUUGUUUUACUUUAUAUUCAAUUGCUUCUAUAAAGGUACACACACACAGUGUGUAUGUAUUUCCUGGUCACCUGGCUGUCUAGCUGAUAUCCGGGGAACUGCAAAGGUGAGUAAGACAUAAUCAUUUCCUCCUAGUGGGACAUGAUAUAGGCGGGGAAUGAGCUACAAGUCAACCAAGAAUAAUGUGCAUUCCAAUGCAUGGUUUCAAACAGUCAUAUGUUUAGAAAAAAGUAAUUUUCUUUUACUAGCCCAACUGAAAACUGUAUUUGGUAAAUACUAUGUGCAGGUCUUUAAGAAAAUUAUUUUAGAAUCUCCAAGUGUAAUAAAUUAAACAUGCUUUCUGUAAUUUCUUUUCUUUUUAACAUUUUUAGGAAAAGUAACUUGGUCUAUAAAAUGCUACCAAAGUGAAGUUGAAUCAAAAACAGUUUUUAGUGAAUUUUCUUAUGAAGUAUAAAUAGGUUACAGAAAACAAAAUUAAAAACAUAACGUUACGAUUUUGUCAGUUAAUAUGAGAGAAACUAACGGAUUGUGGAGGUCAAGCUUUUGAAAACUUCCAGAAGUCCUACCAGAAGACAAAAAUAGAUAGAACUAUGUUUCUUUUUCAAAGAAAUAUAAUUCCUCCUCCCUCCACCUCCUCAUUCUCUAUUCUUUUUAGAAUUUUUACGUUAAGUUUACAUAGUUCUCUUUUCAGUGUCAUUAUUUACAACACUGUCACUGUUUCCAUAGUUAUGCAGAACGUCUGUUUCCAUAGCAACACUCUUGGUUUCCUAAACAAAUAGUAUCACAGUGUUAAUCUUGUUUCACUGUUAUUGUGCUAUGUUAUUAGAUACAAAACUCAAAAAAUAAUUUAAGGAGGGUUUGAAGCUAGCCCCACAGGAACAACUACAAAGCAGACUUCAAGGGAAAUUUAUGGCUACUGUUUUCUUUGAUUGAAACCAAAGAGAAAAGUUAUUUUUUGGCCAUGAGGCACAUGGGAUCCAAG